CAGCAGCUGGCUUACUCGAGUAGAAGGAGCUGAGAGUCUGGGGCUUGUGGGUCUGACUUUCCCGGUCCAACAACUUAUCCAGUAUCUAAAGGAUGGAGAAGCACAGGAAAGGGAGAACACACGAGGCAUGUCAUUGGGAAGUUACCAAAUAAGUGAAUCCUUGGAAGCAAGGGAGCGGAGCGACCGAGCCGGGGGGAGGGUUUGUCCUUUUCCCAUGCAAGAAACUUUUGAAAUUUAAAGGCUGAAAUGGUGCAUUCUGGUGAACUCUGACACCUAGAAUUCUUUAAACAUGAAGGCUUAAAAAAAAUGUCUGUAUGGGACCUUCUAGGCAUCCCCCCAAAAACAGCACAAAGUCAUGUUAAUGUGAUGACACCAAAUAUUUAUACUGGAUUCAAAUUUGAACGAGCCACAUGAAGUCAUCACUAUGUGUGCUUUCCGAUCGACCAUGGCAGUGAGCCUCUUCUGUUGAGGAACUUGUGGGGCAAUGCCACUGGGUUGUUGCAAGUACACACUACUGAUCCCGUAUGUUUGGUCCUAUUGUUGCGUCUAUUGUGAAAAAAAUUGCUGGGCAUUUGGUGGUUAGAGCGCUUUUUGUACAAUUUCCUGGCAUGAUUUUUCGUUUUCAUGUGGUCUAUCAGCGCUUGACAUCCUCUGUCGCUGUAUUUUGUGUCAUCGUCGCACACCAUGCACCUCGCUUUCCCAGCUACAUCUAACUUUCCAUAAUGCUCUCCAAUCGUUGUUUCCAACUCGUGCUUUUGCCAGCGCACUGUUGACAACUACGUGCGAUCCAACCCUAUACCCCUUACACCCCAUAUUUUUUUUCUCAUUGAAUUUGGGCGAUUCACGUUGGGUCUCAAAAUUGAUACCUCGAUACGCGAAUUUUCGCGUAUCUGCGACCAAAUAACAUGCCUGUUUUUGUCGUCUGUCCACUGAACACAUGCAUGUCCUUUUAGCUUUGUUUUGGUCGUCACCUGCUCCUGAAGAAAACAUCGAUCUCUUCAGCUGCUAAAUUGUCCACUGUGCGUUUAUAGUUUUUAUAUUCCCUUUAUCACCAGUGGAAGUCAUUUACUAUAUUUGUGUUCUGUAAAAGGCUCUUUGUGUUACGUCUAUGUUAAGUUUAAUAAAAUAAUGAGGUGAAGCAUACUUGCAAGGUUAGUCUAGAAAGCUACAAAUUACGUGGGUGUUUUAAUUAGCUUUCCUGUGUAGUCAGAACCUGCUACUUCUCUGUUCAUAGGUCAGUGAAGUCACCAUCAUGUGGAGCUCACACAGAUGUAAAUAACAAGCCCCAGCCACUUUUGUGACAAUUCCAGUGAAGCUGUGAGUGUAGCUGUGACUGCAGUGCUGGCUUUAAUGGUCAAUUUAACUUCACUAUGAGUAUGUUGCAGUUGUAUUAAUGAAAAUUUUGACAGUAAACAAGUCAGAGUUAUUUCCGUUUUUACAGUUUGAAGCAUUAAAGUGCCUUAGUUGCUGUAGUACUGUGGCUCAUACCAAACCACGAAUUUUAUGUACAGUUACACACUUCCUUCUUUCCAGUGUGUCCAUAAUGACAAUAAACAUAUCUAAUUUUGGA